rnacentral:lncRNA from 1 species
CACUUAAAGCCGAAAGCAGGUUUCCUUUUGAGAAUAGAGAUUCAGUGUCGCGUUCGCCUUUGACCAGCAAUGACGACGCAACACCAACGCUCUUCUUCUAGCAGUUUAUUCAGGAAAACUUAACAUUCUUUUUCUUCUACCCCUGGGGAGCACCCGUCCCUAGAAUAAGUACCCCUGAACCAACCAAUCACGGAUAGUCAUGUGGCGAAUGCAGAUAGGUACACGUAAGAGGGGGCAGAGCAUCAGACACAUCACAGCCAAAUAAGGAGUUGUUUAUCAUAAAGAGCUCUCGCCGUCGGGAUGGCGGAAGGCGGAAACCAGCGCCAUCUUUAAGGCGCGGCACACGCAGCUCUCCACAAUUCAGUGCAUUUAUGUUACUAUGCUCAGCCCAACAGGGAUUCAACUACUAAAACAUGCAUGGUUGAUAAGAAAUAACAGCCUUCUAACUGUGCUUUAUACUUCAAAAGUGCUUGAUGUUGUAACUAUUAUAAUAGUUAAGCUCACUGCUCCUAUGGAAAUAAUUAUGUCACUGAUCAUCUCUUCUGGGUGUUCAACGGCUAAAGUUUG